UGGGGGUUGGGUGUCAACUCAUCGGGCUCAUAACCCGAAGACCGUGGGUUCAAAUCCCACCCCCGCAACCA
rnacentral:tRNA from 1 species